GGACAGUCAUCGCCGAGUCCCCGUACGGCGCGAGCCAGGGGAGCCGGGGACCCAAACGCAGUCCCUGGGGUGAAUCGGAUGCCCACGCGUGCGCGUGGGGGUCCGUAGGAGACCUUCCUGCUCCGAACCCGUCAGCUAACCCGGUAGGCGAGAGGGAAGGAAAGG
rnacentral:sRNA from 2 species